rnacentral:rRNA from 1 species
GAUGAACGCUGGCGGCGUGCCUAAUACAUGCAAGUCGAGCGAACAGAUGAGGAGCUUGCUCCUCUGACGUUAGCGGCGGACGGGUGAGUAACACGUGGAUAACCUACCUAUAAGACUGGGAUAACUUCGGGAAACCGGAGCUAAUACCGGAUAAUAUAUUGAACCGCAUGGUUCAAUAGUGAAAGACGGUUUUGCUGUCACUUAUAGAUGGAUCCGCGCCGCAUUAGCUAGUUGGUAAGGUAACGGCUUACCACGGCAACGAUGCGUAGCCGACCUGAGAGGGUGAUCGGCCACACGGGAACUGAGACACGGUCCAGACUCCUACGGGAGGCAGCAGUAGGGUAUCUUCCGCAAUGGGCGAAAGCCUGACGGAGCAACGCCGCGUGAGUGAUGAAGGUCUUCGGAUCGUAAAACUCUGUUAUUAGGGAAGAACAAAUGUGUAAGUAACUAUGCACGUCUUGACGGUACCUAAUCAGAAAGCCACGGCUAACUACGUG